GACGAACGCUGGCGGCGCGCCUAACACAUGCAAGUCGAACGAGCGAGAGAGAGCUUGCUUUCUCGAGCGAGUGGCGAACGGGUGAGUAACGCGUGAGGAACCUGCCUCAAAGAGGGGGACAACAGUUGGAAACGACUGCUAAUACCGCAUAAGCCCACGGCUCGGCAUCGAGCAGAGGGAAAAGGAGCAAUCCGCUUUGAGAUGGCCUCGCGUCCGAUUAGCUAGUUGGUGAGGUAACGGCCCACCAAGGCGACGAUCGGUAGCCGGACUGAGAGGUUGAACGGCCACAUUGGGACUGAGACACGGCCCAGACUCCUACGGGAGGCAGCAGUGGGGAAUAUUGCACAAUGGGGGGAAACCCUGAUGCAGCGACGCCGCGUGGAGGAAGAAGGGUACUUUCCGGAUUGUAAACUCCUGUUGUUGUAGGAAGGA
rnacentral:rRNA from 1 species